GCAAGUCGAGCGGCAGCGACAUAAACAAUCCUUCGGGUGCGUUUGUGGGCGGCGAGCGGCGGACGGGUGAGUAAUGCCUGGGAAAUUGCCCUGGUGUGGGGGAUAACUAUUGGAAACGAUAGCUAAUACCGCAUAAUGCCUUCGGGCCAAAGAGGGGGACCUUCGGGCCUCUCGCGUCAGGAUAUGCCCAGGUGGGAUUAGCUAGUUGGUGAGGUAAUGGCUCACCAAGGCGACGAUCCCUAGCUGGUCUGAGAGGAUGAUC
rnacentral:rRNA from 1 species